UAUUCGGGUCCCUGGUUAUCUUGUUGAUC
rnacentral:piRNA from 1 species